rnacentral:rRNA from 1 species
GACAGAGGUCCCGAGCGUGAGGCGGAAUCCCUGGGCUUAAAGCGUGUGUAGGCGGCGGCCUAAGUACCUUGUGAAAUCCCACGGCUCACCCGUGGAACUGCUCGGUAUACUGGGUCGCUUGAGCCACUUAGGGGCUACCGGAACAAAUGGUGGAGCGGUGAAAUGCGUAGAUAUCAUUUGGAACGCCAAUGGUGAAAACAGGUAGCUGGGAGUGUGCUGACGCUGAGACACGAAAGCCAGGGGAGCAAACGGG